GAGGAUCAAUGACGGCGGCGCGUCUUCGACUCACUUCAGUCCUUAUAGUCGUCGCUAGGUGGUCUACAGAUCUAGAUGUAUUUUUUAUUUAUUUUUUAUACUGCCAUGACUGAAGAUGAAUAGAUCGAAAGUUUCUCGCACAAAAAAAAAGUUUUGCCCGGCUCCGGCGAGGGAGGAACGAUGACGACGGCAUGCCUACGGCUCUAUUCGGUACACUGUAUUGCCAUGAUUAAAAAGGAGUAGAUCAGAAGUUUUCGCGUAAAUUUAAAACAUCCCUUCGAACCUAAAAAGAUAUACUCUCAAAUUGAUUAUAUUUUUCUCUCAAAAACGAAUAGCUCAGCCUCUACAACAUUGCAACAUAGGAUGCACACAACCAACACUCUAUUAAAUAAGUGUAGUACAGUCUGUACGAGUACAUAUCUGGUGAUACGGCUCACAAUCUGCUCCGAUGCUCCGAGACAGUAUGGUUCGUUGGAUCUGAACUCUAGGGACAGAUUGACUAGCCUCACUUCCUUCUAGCAAAAAUAUACGGAAGACACCUUGGUUAUUCUGCAAUUAGGGACAGGUCCCUUCAUUCCGUCUUCUCCUGGAUUCGAUUGCUUCUCAGCGCCCCGUAAAAAACAGUUUUCCCCAUCGCCGACGACCACCAUGGAUGAUUUUCGAUCGCCACCGGCCGCCGGCAGCCGCAGCUUAUUCCUGAUCUGCUUUUGUUAGCCUCAAUCCUGCAUAGACUAUUAGACCACCGUGCGCGUGCUGAAUUGUACUAGCUCGGAUCAGAUCAGGCCACGUCGCCGGAAACGGGGAGCAGAGAAGAAUCUCUCCCCGCCGCUGCUGGAACCGACCACGUCGCCGGAAACGGGGAUCCUACGCAACGAAGGCUGGAUGCAGGAUAAACCAUUGCUUAUGCAGUCUACUCUUUGGGGAAGCAUGAUGUUUGAACCGAUGGCGUGCUUCCUUGUAGCAUCUGGAAAAAUCCAUUUGGGUGUGGAAGGUGUUGGCUUCACAGACGAUGUGCAAAACAACCAGAUGGCUGGCUGCGAUUCUGGAGCACAAACACGAUCCUUUUGGUAUUGUAGUUGUGAGAUCAAGGAAAAUCAUCUGUAUUUGCAGUUGACAAGAGUAAUGUAAUAUUAGAGGCAACAUGUGCCUUUCAGGUAUAGGAGUACCCAUGUUUAGUUCAGCAAACAGGAGCUCGAGUUGCUGUUACAUAUAUGUGCGAUUCUAUGGACAACCUUGUGUUGUGUUUUAUCAAUCUGGUAUGUAUGUAUGUUGUUAGCUUUACUAGACAACAUGCUUCCUAAAGGUGUUACUACUACUGUGAAAUUUUUUUGUUUUGCAAAGUCUUGUUCCUUAACCCUGAGUUGAAUGAAAUCAGGAUGAUUUGUUUUGAUUGUAGAGAUUUUAUUUGCUUCGUUUAAAA